AAUGAACUUCAGACUUAAACCUGGAGGGAAGGUAGCUCUGGAGAUAGAAUGGCAGAAAGAUGAACCUGCUGCCCAUGGGUCUGGGAAAUACUGGUCUCAAUACAAGUCAGGGAUAAACUGCAAAUAUUUGACCUUGAAUUACAGAUUUGGGGGGAAUAAAUACAAGCUAUUGCCUGAUGAAGAAAAUCUGUAUUAUAUCAAAAAAGGCUGAGGUCCACCAGCUGGUAAAAGGACACAGACAGCUGAGAUCAGUUGGGACUUGAAGCCUACUGCUAACCAGCUAAGGGUCUGAAGGUGAAGAUCACAACUUGUCUGACCAAGUACAGUUUCCAUGGCAGUAGCAGUGCCCUAACAUAGAAACCACCUCUCUAGUGCACACCUAAAAUAAAUUCCAAAAUACUCUUUCCUGAAAAUUGGUG
rnacentral:lncRNA from 1 species